rnacentral:rRNA from 1 species
GAGACUGGGAUUACACCUGGAAACAGAUGCUAAUAUCGGAUAACAACACUAGACGCAUGUCUAGAGUUUAAAAGAUGGUUCUGCUAUCACUCUUGGAUGGACCUGCGGUGCAUUAGCUAGUUGGUAAGGUAACGGCUUACCAAGGCAAUGAUGCAUAGCCGAGUUGAGAGACUGAUCGGCCACAUUGGGACUGAGACACGGCCCAAACUCCUACGGGAGGCAGCAGUAGGGAAUCUUCCACAAUGGACGCAAGUCUGAUGGAGCAACGCCGCGUGAGUGAAGAAGGGUUUCGGCUCGUAAAGCUCUGUUGGUAGUGAAGAAAGAUAGAGGUAGUAACUGGCCUUUAUUUGACGGUAAUUACCUAGAAAGUCACGGCUAACUACGUGCCAGCAGCCGCGGUAAUACGUAGGUGGCAAGCGUUGUCCGGAUUUAUUGGGCGUAAAGCGAGUGCAGGCGGUUCAAUAAGUCUGAUGUGAAAGCCUUCGGCUCAACCGGAGAAUUGCAUCAGAAACUGUUGAACUUGAGUGCAGAAGAGGAGAGUGGAACUCCAUGUGUAGCGGUGGAAUGCGUAGAUAUAUGGAAGAACACCAGUGGCGAAGGCGGCUCUCUGGUCUGCAACUGACACUGAGGCUCGAAAGCAUGGGUAGCGAACAGGAUUAGAUACCCUGGUAGUCCAUGCCGUAAACGAUGAGUAAUAAGUGUUGGGAGGUUUCCGCCUCUCAGUGCCGCAG